CCUACGGGUGGCUGCAGUGAGGAAUAUUGGUCAAUGGCCGGAAGGCUGAACCAGCCAUGCCGCGUGAAGGUCAGUGCCCUAUGGGCGUUAAACUUCUUUUGUUCGGGAACAAUAAUGGUCACCUUUGGCCAGACGCGAGUACCGUUCGAAUAAGCAUCGGCUGACUCCGUUCCAGCAGCCGCGGUAAUACGGGUGAUGCAAGCGUUAUCCGGGUUUAGUGGGUUUAAAGGGGGCGUAGGCUGUGAGGUAAGUCAGCGUGGAAAUGCCCCCGCUCAACGGGGUGAAGUGCCAUUGAUACUGGCUUGCUGGAAUGCGGAUGCCGUGGGAGGAAUGUGUGGUGUAGCGGUGAAAUGCAUAGAUAUCACACAGAACACCGAUUGCGAAGGCAUCUCACGAAUCCGCGAUUGACGCUGAUGCACGAAAGCGUGGGUAUCAAACAGGAUUAGAUACCCGAGUAGUC
rnacentral:rRNA from 1 species